GGCCUGGUGGUGUAAUGGUAACACAGCUGCUCUAUAUGAUCGUAGAAUUUGUCCACUUCAGCGGGAGUCCCUUGUUCGACUCAAGGCUAGGCCA